rnacentral:rRNA from 1 species
GACGAACGCUGGCAGCGUGCUUAACACAUGCAAGUCGUACGAUGACCCGGCUCUUCGGAGCUGGUGAUUAGUGGCGAACGGGUGAGUAACACGUGGGUGACCUGCCCUGCACUCUGGGAUAAGCCCGGGAAACUGGGUCUAAUACUGGAUACGACCAGUGGCCGCAUGGUCUGCUGGUGGAAAGCCCUUCGGGGUGGUGUGGGAUGGGCCCGCGGCCUAUCAGCUUGUUGGUGGGGUGAUGGCCUACCAAGGCGACGACGGGUAGCCGGCCUGAGAGGGUGUCCGGCCACACUGGGACUGAGACACGGCCCAGACUCCUACGGGAGGCAGCAGUGGGGAAUCUUGCACAAUGGGCGAAAGCCUGAUGCAGCGACGCCGCGUGAGGGAUGACGGCCUUCGGGUUGUAAACCUCUUUCGGCAGGGAACAAGCCUGGGGGUUUUCUUCUGGGUGAGGGUACCUGCGGAAGAAGCACCGGCUAACUACGUG